AAGAAAUUAGUUAAAUUUAUAAUAACAUUUGUUUGUCAUGUAAAAGUUAUCUUCAGGAUAUUUCUUA
rnacentral:tRNA from 1 species